GAUGCAUAAAGAUGAAUGAAGAUGUGGUUGAGUCUGUGAUGUUGGGGUGAGUAGCAUCUCAAUAUUACCUCAGCUACAUGACUGUAUCAAUGUUUGGUUCAAACAUCGGUCCAGACACGUCACUUGAAGUCUUUUUGCAUGUCUUAUCUGCUGCUGCUGAAUUUGAUGAACUUCCUGUGCGUCACAAUGAGGAAAAAUACAACGAAGCACUGUCUGAGAAAGUUAGAUAUCCUGUGGAUAAAAAUCAUUUGGACGACCCUCAUAUCAAAGCAAAUCUUCUAUUUCAGUCCCAUUUUGCCCU